rnacentral:sRNA from 2 species
AACAGGCUUGGCGGUGGAAAACACCAAAAAAAUCAAAAUUUGUGAAUAAGGAGAUAAGCUAAGCCAUGUCCUGCAACCGAGAGUCCAGAAAGGAGCACUGACCAGUUAGUUUCCAGGUACGCAUGCUCCUUCGAUUUAUGGUUUAGUCCAUAAUUUAAGCAGCGAAAGCUUAAAUCUACGGCUUUUAGGGCCUACUGGUGAUUCUUUUUUUGCAGGGUUUAACUUAGGCUCCGUGACAGCAGACGCAUGUACAUACAUUGUUGCUAUGGAAUUUACUACCAAAUAACUUAACUAUUUUGUUUAUGAUGGUAAGACUAAGGAAAAUCUCAGAAAUAUCUGGCGAACUGUGUAUUGGCUACCCGAGAGCCCAAGCAUGGUACUCACUCGGGAAAAGAAGCGAAAAAAGUAACCACAUGUGCAUAAUGAUGAUUACAAGACCCUCCCAGAUCUCCUCGUGUGAGGAAGUGAAGCAGAACAUACUAGG